rnacentral:tRNA from 1 species
CUCAGUUGGUAGAGCGCUCCACUUGUAAUGGAGAGGUCCCGGGUUCGAUACCCGGACCAGGCG